rnacentral:rRNA from 1 species
UGGGGAAUAUUGCACAAUGGGCGCAAGCCUGAUGCAGCCAUGCCGCGUGUGUGAAGAAGGCCUUCGGGAGUGUAAAGCACUUUCAGUAAGGAGGAAAGGUUAGUAGUUAAUACCUGCUAGCUGUGACGUUACUUACAGAAGAAGCACCGGCUAACUCCGUGCC